GCCCGGUUAGCUCAAUCGGUAGAGCGUGAGACUCUUAAUCUCAAGGUUGCGGGUAAGUCUCAGAUUCGAUCCAUGGAUAUGCUA